AGACCGCUGUGUAAAAUUGGUGCUGUGUACGAACGGUUGUGUAGUUUUUUUUCACAACCCUGCGUAAUCUUACCCGAGUUACGUUAAAUAUUGGUUGCGUAAAGAGUUUUCUUCAAUAAGAGGUUACGAUUUCACGUCAAUUCCCGCCAAGCACCCCGUUUCACAACAGUUGUGUACAUCAAUUUACCACGUGACUUGAGACAGCCAAUCAGCUGUCAUAAAAGUUUUACGCAAACUUUUGAUAUCCAAAAUGGAGAGUGCCAAGGAAUUGCUUUGCGAUCGGGGGUUCGAGUCACGUCAGCCGUCAAAAAUUUUGAGGAGGCCUAUGGAGCUGAGUGAGGAUGAGGAUCCAGUUUUGCAAGAUAAAACGACACCAAAACCAAGAAAGAGGGUCAGAUGCCCCUAUGAAUUUGAUGUUGAAAGCAUCAUUUUGAAAGGUAGAAACGGAAGGGGCUUGCUGGAGGCAUUAACUCGAGGACGGGUUCUAAACAACAGCGAGAGAAUUCAACUCAACUGAGUGUUGGUUAGCCAUCUAAUUGAAGAGCAUUGAUGGAACCCACCAUCACAAGUGAAGGAAAGCCUUGCGCACAGCCUUCUGGAUCAAUUCAAAAUUUUGAAGGACAUCAACGGAAUCACAGGAUAUGUAAGUAUCUUGUAUUCUUGUUUUGUGGUGCUGUGGAAGCAAGGAUAGCAAACAUAAGAAAAGCAGCCCGAAACAAUAGCCCUUUGAUGUAAAACAAUGCACUAGUUGAACUUUUAAUUUGGUCUCAAAAGAUGCUCGAGACUUGAAAGUAUAAUCUCUGUG